AUGGCGGUUCAUUGUCUUUCCCCAGUGGUUACAGAAAUGGGGGGAUCUCUGUGGCUGUGUGUCUGCGAGCUGCAGCUGUUCUCAGGUUUGGUGGCGGGGAACUUGCUAAUCCAGAUCCCGCCUUCCCUGCCAGCCGCGGAAGGGCAGCGGGUGGAGAUCAGGUGUCAAUACAGCACCUCCUACACCAGCUAUGCCCUGGACUGGUACCAGGAGCAGCUGGGGAAGUGGCCCCUGUUCCUGCACAGCAGAUACUCUGGUGGCUCGGAGCGCAAAUCCAGUUUGGUGGCACCUCGGUUCUCCUCACGGCUGGACACGGGAGCAAAGACUUUCAAGCUAACCAUAGAGGGGGCGCAGCGGGCUGACUCGGCGGUGUAUUUCUGUGCUCUCUGGGAUCCACCGUGCUACAGAGCGCACCGGGCUCCGGACACAAACUGCCGCGGGGGCGCAGGUGUCUGA